rnacentral:rRNA from 1 species
GCCCAGCCGUAAACUUUAACUUACAUUCAAAUCGCCAGGGAACUACGAGCUAAGCUUAAAACCCAAAGGACUUGACGGUACCCCAUAUCCCCCUAGAGGAGCCUGUCCUAUAAUCGAUAAUCCACGUUUAACCUCACCAUUUUUAGUUAAUCAGCCUGUAUACCUCCGUCGUCAGCUUACCACGUGAGCGCCAAUUAGUGAGCUUAAUGUCUUUCACCAACACGUCAGGUCAAGGUGCAGCAAAUGAAAUGGGAAGAGAUGGGCUACACUUUCUAUAUUAGAAAAAACGAAAAACUACUUAUGAAAACUAGUUGGAAGGCGGAUUUAGCAGUAAAAAGGAAUCAGAAUGUCCAUUUUAACCCGGCACUGGGGUGUGUACACACCGCCCGUCACCCUCUUCAAAGCUUAUAACCUAGUUCUUAACAAACUAAAGCAUAACAGAAUAGGCAAGUCGUAACAUGGUAAGUAUACCGGAAGGUGUGCUUGGAAA